GCGUCUCGUCGGUACGAGACACGAACGGCUCGCAGUGUAUCGGACAUAAUUUUUCGACGACAUCUACUUUAAACGGAUUCAUUGAAAGUAGUUGAAUACGUCCUCUUAGCGGCUGCAACGAAAUGUAAAAAAUAUAUAAGAUAACUGUUAAAAAACUCAAGAUCAUCUUGAUUUCUUAGAUACUAUAAGGCAUCAACGAAACACAAUGUAUUCAUCUGAUCAAAAUUCUUAAAUACAAUAAAUUUCACUUCAAACA